AAWACGACUCUCGGCAACGGAUAUCUCGGCUCUCGCAUCGAUGAAGAACGUAGCGAAAUGCGAUACUUGGUGUGAAUUGCAGAAUCCCGUGAACCAUCGAGUCUUUGAACGCAAGUUGCGCCCGAAGCCUUCCGGCCGAGGGCACGUCUGCCUGGGCGUCACG
rnacentral:rRNA from 1 species